rnacentral:snRNA from 1 species
CAAUAAUUUUAAACUCAUUAUUG